GAGUGAGUCUCUAGGUUGUAUGAUAUGGAGUCUCAGGAAAACAGUACAAUUUUAACCCCAAAGUAGAUGCUGGUGCAUUCAUGGUGGCCUUCGUGUAUAUAUUCAUCUUCCCAUGAGUCCCAAAG